GACGAACGCUGGCGGCGUGCUUAACACAUGCAAGUCGAACGGAAAGGCCCCUUUUGGGGUACUCGAGUGGCGAACGGGUGAGUAACACGUGAGUAACCUGCCCUUGACUUCGGGAUAACUUCAGGAAACUGGGUCUAAUACCGGAUAGGAAUCCUUUCUUCAUGGUGGGGGUUGGAAAGCUUCGGCGGGUUUGGAUGGACUCGCGGCUUAUCAGCUUGUUGGUGGGGUAGUGGCUUACCAAGGCUUUGACGGGUAGCCGGCCUGAGAGGGCGACCGGCCACAUUGGGGAUGGGAUAAGGCCCCGACUCCUACGGGAGGCAGCAGGGGGGAAUAUUGCACAAUGGGGGGAAGCCUGAUGCAGCAACGCCGCGUGCGGGAUGACGGCCUUCGGGUUGUAAAACGGUUUCAGCAGGGGAGAAGCUUGUGGUGACGGUACCUGCAGAAGAAGCACCGGCUAACUACGUG
rnacentral:rRNA from 1 species